rnacentral:rRNA from 1 species
CGCCGCCGCGGUAAUACAGAGGGUGCGAGCGUUAAUCGGAUUUACUGGGCGUAAAGCGUGCGUAGGCGGCUUCUUAAGUCGGAUGUGAAAUCCCUGAGCUUAACUUAGGAAUUGCAUUCGAUACUGGGAAGCUAGAGUAUGGGAGAGGAUGGUAGAAUUCCAGGUGUAGCGGUGAAAUGCGUAGAGAUCUGGAGGAAUACCGAUGGCGAAGGCAGCCAUCUGGCCUAAUACUGACGCUGAGGUACGAAAGCAUGGGGAGCAAACAGGAUUAGAUACCCGUGUAGUCCCUGUCUCUUAUACA